CAUUAUUUUAGGGUAUAGAACAACCUGAAAUAGUGAACAGAUCCACAGAUCUCUCACUUUAUUAUCUCCACACGGUUUAUUGUCCCUUUCUGCCCGAGUGAAAGAAAACAAAGCCACAAAACCAAACAAAACAGAAAUUAUAAUUAGAAAAAAUCCACUAGAUGCUGACAUGCAGUCAAACUAUCCAGAAAAAAAAACAGAGCAUUACAAAAUAGCCGCUCAGCAUGGUGUCCUUUUCUAGCACCGAUAAUCUUUGUACCGUUUAAUGCUGCGCCCAACACAAAAGCAACACAAUCACGACGGUAAAAAAUUUUAAGUGUGGACGUGCUAUAUGAUUAAACAGAAUUGUUCCACUGUGUGGACGACUGAAAACAUGCAGAUUUGAUUUGUGAGUGGAAACAACUGGAAAGAACGUUCGAGAAAGUCUAAAAAUACAACUACCUCGAACGGUAUGUUGGCCUUUCCGUGCAUUUGGUGUAAAUAUGGCACUAACUUUAUAGAGCCCUGAGGAUGACUUAAAUAUAGUCGUAACGUCAGCAGAUGAAAAA